rnacentral:rRNA from 1 species
UACAGAGACUGCAAGCGUUAUUCGGAUUCACUGGGCGUAAAGGGUGCGCAGGCGGCCAAGUGUGUCAGGUGUGAAAUCCCGAGGCUUAACCUCGGAACUGCGCCUGAAACUACUUGGCUAGUAGUACUGGAGAGGGUAACGGAAUUCACGGUGUAGCAGUGAAAUGCGUAGAUAUCGUGAGGAACACCAGUGGCGAAGGCGACUUCCUGGCCUGUUCUUGACGCUGAGGCGCGAAAGCUAGGGGAGCAAACGGG